rnacentral:rRNA from 1 species
UAAAUAGUCAGGCCGGCUUUUGCUGGUCGCAGACUUCUUAGAGGGACUGUCAGCGUCUAGCUGACGGAAGUUUGAGGCAAUAACAGGUCUAUGAUUCCCUUAGAUGUUCUUGGCCGCACACGCACUACACUAAUGUAUUCAACGAGUAUAUAGCCUUGGUCGAUAGGC